rnacentral:rRNA from 1 species
CUGGCUCAGGACGAACGCUGGCGGCGUGCCUAAUACAUGCAAGUCGAGCGGACAGAUGGGAGCUUGCUCCCUGAUGUUAGCGGCGGACGGGUGAGUAACACGUGGGUAACCUGCCUGUAAGACUGGGAUAACUCCGGGAAACCGGGGCUAAUACCGGAUGGUUGUUUGAACCGCAUGGUUCAAACAUAAAAGGUGGCUUCGGCUACC